rnacentral:rRNA from 1 species
UGGGUGGCGAGUGGCGGACGGGUGAGGAAUACAUCGGAAUCUACUUUUUCGUGGGGGAUAACGUAGGGAAACUUACGCUAAUACCGCAUACGACCUACGGGUGAAAGCAGGGGAYCUUCGGRCCUUGCGCGAUUGAAUGAGCCGAUGUCGGAUUAGCUAGUUGGCGGGGUAAAGGCCCACCAAGGCGACGAUCCGUAGCUGGUCUGAGAGGAUGAUCAGCCACACUGGAACUGAGACACGGUCCAGACUCCUACGGGAGGCAGCAGUGGGGAAUAUUGGACAAUGGGCGCAAGCCUGAUCCAGCCAUACCGCGUGGGUGAAGAAGGCCUUCGGGUUGUAAAGCCCUUUUGUUGGGAAAGAAAUCCAGCCGGCUAAUACCUGGUUGGGAUGACGGUACCCAAAGAAU